UAAAAGGCAGUGUGCAAGAGUAGAGAGGUUUUGUAGAUGAAGCGGACUAAAUGCAAAUCCCAUUUCUGGCAUUUCUUGAAUCUGCGACCUUGGGGAAAAUAGGUGAAACUCUUGAUUCAGAGCAAACUACACAGACUAUGCAAGAUGCAGGAAACAAAAGAAUUCUUGGGCUGACGGGAUGAAAAGCCCAGAAAUUCUCUGCAGGGACAUCCUUUUGCUUUCCAACCCCACCUGCUGCUUAGCACUGGACAGCACAAUGACCCUAACCUCAUGUGGGGAAACAGAAUACAAUUCUUUUCACCUGUUGG